rnacentral:lncRNA from 1 species
UUUCGUCAUUCAGAUCUUGUCUUAGCAUGCUAUUCCUAGAUCGUGGCUUAACCUGUCAUUCAAACUCUAAUUUAGUCGAGACUCAUCACAGUCUUUAAUACCAACUAUGACACCCGUUUUUUAGAAAGAUCAUCUAUUUUAGAAUUACUCUAAUCUUAAUACGCUUAACCUCUUAACUUCUUGGACUUUACCGCCACCUAAAAUAUUAUAACCGAAUUUAGAAUUUUUUAACCCUAUUAUUCCUUAUAUAUAGGACUAUUCUAAAUCAUAGAAUUGUCACAAUUAGAGCCAUGAAAUAGGGCAAAAUCUCGAGAAAUUUAACAAAAUCCUCUAUUAAUUGAAUAAAAUAACUCGAACCAAACAAAUAGAAGUUUAAAUAGGGUGAAACACAUAAAAUUUUAUUUCUAUACGCUUCAAAUGGUGUAGAUCAUAUUCAACGUACAGUGCCGAUAAGUCAAUUCGAAGGCUUCAUCAUCGAAAAUAAAUCGAUAGCAAUAGAACUUAUUUACUUCCAAUAAUAUUCUAGCCCAAUUGAAAAAAAAAAUCAACAGAAAAUUAAUUUAUUAUUUUAUAUAUAUAUAUAUAAUAGACAAAAGUUAU